GAUCCUGGCUCAGAACGAACGCUGGCGGCGUGCUUAACACAUGCAAGUCGAACGUGAAAGGGGCUUCGGUCCUGAGUAAAGUGGCGCACGGGUGAGUAGCGCGUGGAUAAUCUGCCCUGGUAUCCGGGAUAACAUCUCGAAAGGGGUGCUAAUACCUGAUAAGCCCACAGGGUCUUCGGAUCCUGCGGGAAAAGGUGGGGACCUUCGGGCCUGCCGUAUCAGGAUGAGUCCGCGUACCAUUAGCUGGUUGGCGGGGUAAAGGCCCACCAAGGCGACGAUGGUUAGCUGGUCUGAGAGGAUGAUCAGCCACACUGGAACUGAGACACGGUCCAGACUCCUACGGGAGGCAGCAGUGGGGAAUUUUGCGCAAUGGGGGAAACCCUGACGCAGCAACGCCGCGUGAGUGAUGAAGGCCUUCGGGUCGUAAAGCUCUGUCGGAGGGGAAGAAGUGUGUGGGUGUUAAUACCAUCCGCACUUGACGGUACCCUCAAAGGAAGCACCGGCUAACUCCGUGCCAGCAGCCGCGGUAA
rnacentral:rRNA from 1 species